rnacentral:rRNA from 1 species
GUACCGUCAAAUGUAUCAGUUAUUAACCAAUACACAUUUCUUCCCCAUUGACAGAGCUUUACAACUCGAAAGCCUUCAUCACUCACGCGGCGUCGCUGCAUCAGGGUUGCCCCCCAUUGUGCAAAAAUUCCUC